rnacentral:rRNA from 1 species
AUCUAUGGCCAUACCACCCUGAAUGCACCUGAUCUCGUUUGAUCUCCAAAGCUAAGCAGGGUCAGAUCUGGUUAGUAUUUGGAUGGGAGAAAAGGAGAGGCACAGAUC